rnacentral:lncRNA from 13 species
GAACCGCUGGAUAAAGACCAGCUCAACCAUGGCUGAGAAAAUAGACCCAGGCUCCCCAGAGCGGUUAACCCGCCUGCCUCUGGGCAAAGACUAAAAAGAAAUCCUCACAAUGGGAUGGAACCGCGUCUCAGUACUUGCUGUUCGAGUCAGUCUGGAGUUUCUAGGAAAGCUGCCACUGAAAUUCUCCGCUAACUAGACUGAUCUUGCUUCAAAUUAUUUGGACAUGGAUGCUUAUCUUUUUUAUUUUCAAAGAAAAGAAAAGCAAAACAAAAAGAAACAACUGCAAACAGCCCCCAGUGUGUUUCCUACUGACCUUUUUCCUCGGAGGAAAGCAAAGGGAGAGAACUGGCUUCACCAGUGUUCCUUGGCUUCAUCCAUUCACAGGGAACUCACGGGGUACAAAGCUCCUUCAUGCUGGUUGAAGCUCUUAUAUCACUGUACUGGUUCCCUACGAUGCAGAAUUGGAUCACAGAGUAAUUAA